rnacentral:lncRNA from 1 species
CACCUCCCCGAUGGUGAAGUACUUGCUCGUGUUCUUGCACACCGAGCCUCCCUCGGGCGAUGUGGUGAUCUUCACCUCGUUGCUGAUCUUCUCGAAGGUGGUGCCCAGCAUGUCGCCCUCGAUGAUCGAGUAGCAGUAGGUGAAGUUCUCCUUGUCCAGGGCCUCAACCUUUUGCUUCAUUGUCUUGUACUGACUGCCUAUCAAAGUAAGAAAAAAUAAUAUUCACGUUUAGAACUCGCCCGUUUCAACAUCACGAACAACGAUCUCGAUGGUGUUGAUCGGGCCAUUUAGGUUGUUCCAACUGCAAUCUGAUACGAUUGACUUAGUAGACAUGGCCUGAUUUCCCUCGAUUGGAGUCAAGUCACGUGAUCACUUGUGUAAAUCAAUGAUUAGAAACAUCUUUAAUUAACCAAGUUACAUAUCUAUCUUUUUUAAUGUUCAUUAUGAUGUUCCAUAAGGUUGAAAUAGCCUUGAUCCAGAGCGAUCCUAACACGGACGGACUAACCUUCGCCGAAAGUGAUCAACUUGACGGUCCCGGGACCUCCGUCACCCUCGAGGACUUCAACGCUCUUGAUGGCUUGCGGGAGCACCUUGGGGAUGAGGUUAUCGGCGUCGAGGACAGCGGCCUUGAACAUCUUGGCCGGAGGGAUUGGGGUCGUGAUCUCAGAGUCGUAACUGACGACACCCAUGAUUUGGAUCCGAAUGGAAUUGCCGAAAGAAAGAAGAGGGUGAUCGGGAAAGGCUGACUAGCAGUGAUGAAGUUGGUCUCUAGGACUUGGGAGUGAAGAGAAGAGGAUGAACUGAAGCUGACAUAUAUAGAGAGACCGAGUGUGAAGGGUUCUCGUCAUUGGAUAUUUUCUUAAGUGUGUUCGUUUGGUACAAAAUAAAUAAUUAAAUAAUUAUUUGUAUCAUUUGGUAUAAUUAUUUGAUGAGAAAGUUUUGCAUUAUUGACAAUAAUUUAUAUAUAAAUAUUUUUUAUUCGUUUAUUUUUGUAAUUUAUAUAAAAAAAAUAUUUUUUUUACGAAACAAAUGAAGCUUAAUAAAAAAAUCUUAAUCGGUCUGUGGGUUGUUCAAUCAUGACAUGGAGGGGAGCGUGUGACGACAAAGUCAGUUCUUCUUACCGUUCGUGGCCCGGCUUUCGGUCGUCGGCUCGGCUCGCCUUGCGUUUUGGAAACGGCAUCUUCUCUCUCUCUCUCUUUCCUUCUCUCGCCCGCUCUUCCCUGCCCCGCCCCCCGGGCUUUGCUGUGGUCGCGACCAGAUGGAACUUUGACCGUGGAUUAGAUCGUUCGUUCGGUGGUGUUGGUGUCGAGGGUCGUUUGUCUUGUCCGUGCACAAAUUCCUUUCUUUCUUUUUUUUUUUUUUUGCUUUUUUUUUCUUUAUUCGAUGAGGUCGUCGUUCGAUGAGGUCGACCUUGACCUCGCCGGUUGCCAUGGUCCGUCGACUAGAGGAAGAAGAUGAGAAGAAAAAAAUAAAAAUAAAAAUAAAAAUUCAAAAAAAUUACAAUAUUAUUAGAAGUUGUCCACGUCAUCGUGUUUAGUCAGCAAAAUCCGGUCAAAAUUGACCGGAAAUGACUGAAUUGGUAUAAAGUAAAAAUAUUUAGGACUAAAUCAGCACAAAAACAAAAUGUUUAGAACUUUUUAGGCAUUUUUCCCCUAAAAUGGGUAUUACAAGUUUACGAAAGGUACGAACUCAAAAGUCUCCCAAUAAUACUUAAAUUCUCUUGUAGUAGUUAUAUCUAUCUAAUCUUCAAUUAAAAAAGAAAAAUUUCAGUAAAAUUCCUUAAAAACACAUGUAUAAAAUCUUGUUAUCUUCUAUUAAUGCAGGUUUUAAUCAUAUUGUUUCACCAACCUUCUCAGCGAAUUAGUCCCUUUUUUUAGCAUAACUAAUCUUGGGAUGUCACAUUUUAUUGCUAUAACUUGGGGCUUUGAUUUAGGAACUCCAAUAAUCAUUAAAUCUAUCCAUGGAGAGCGCCCGCUAAAAAAAUCUGACUGCUUUGCAUAACCUAGUUUGGUUCAACACCUUUCCUCCAGUAACUUUCCUGACAUAGUAAAAUCUUACUUAUGUACUUGUAAAAUCCGAACCAAGUUUCUGUAUAGAUUAAACAUGAACAUUUGCACACUUAAAUGAAUUCUUUAAAUCCCUGGGUUAAAUUUUGAUAUUAUCAUAAUCCUUUAUUUUCCAAGUAGUUUCUCCAUUUUCGACAAUGACAAACCUAUAACAUUCCUUCAAUGAGAGUGAGCUAUGCACAUAAGCAUGCAUAUUCUGCAGAACUAUUUGAAUGUAAAACCAGAGAUGAUUCAUGCAUGCUUCUACAUGUGACAUUUUAAUAGACCAUACAAAUAUGUCUGCAAAACAUAAUAAACUCUCCUUAAUAUGUACACAUAGUGUGAUACUCCCCCUGAGUAUGUGCUUCUCCCCCUUCUUGUUUCUUAAAAAAGCAAGAACAUCAUAUGCCCAGGGAUGAAAACCAUAUAAGCAAAAGCAUCCAUUUAUUUAUAUACAAGAGUGUUCCACAAAGCAUAUUCUGGAAAAAUUAAUAUAAAGGAAAGUGAACAUUAACCAAAAGGAUCACAAACACCGAUUUCAUCCAUCAAGCUAGAAACGUAUUGUUAUCAAGAGGUUUAUUCAAAAUAUGAGCGAAUUGCAGAUCGAUGUUAACAAAUCCUUUUCAUUAAUUCAUGUUGUGCUGUGGCUGCCAUAAUUAAAUAAAUAAAUAAAAGAAUCAUAUGAAGGAGUCUCUCUUCUUGAAGUUUGACCUAGUUCAGAGCUCCUCGAAAUGGAAGCCACCCCCGUUAAUUAGCACAACUCAUUGUUUAGAGUUAAAUCUUUUAUUAGAAAUCCAAAAUUUAGGCAAUUAAAUACUUGGCCAAUUUUUAAGACAGUGUGACUCUAAAAAUUGUGCUCAUAUUCAACUGAAACACAAUUAGUAAAGAAAGACUUACCGAGUGCUUAACAAUGUCGCAAUUACACUUAUCUUCAAAUCCUUACAUUAAGGAUGACACAUCCUUAUAUUUCAAUAAGGGCCAUUGACUUAACUAAGAAAUUUUAUCUGUUGAAUACUUGAAACACAGAAAUCUGACUAAUUGGAGUAUGAAUUACUGAAACUACAACAACAAUUGAGUAGAAAUGUAAAAGAGACUUAGGGUUGAUGCCUGAUUAUAUAUCGAAAUACCAUGGGUUUGACAUAUAGACCUCCUUGUCAAAGCCCUGUAUGCUAUUGGAAAUAUGUAUACGUAUUAGGCGCAUUCUGUGGGCUACUACAUGGUGCACUUGUUUUAUAUUUAAAGUUUCAAUGGGUUAGUUUUGUCUACUGGUAAUAUUUUCCUCCAAUCAUACUUUCAAUUAAUAGGUCAAAGAUUAUGGACAUUAUCAAUACGAAAUUUAAUCAAAAUCAAAUACGAGUGAUGUUAAUAUUUGUGUAAUCCAUCAAUGAAAGUUAUGGCUAAAAAGAGUUCAUCCAGCUAGAGCGUUACAUGUGUAAAUAGAGAUAAAAUAAAUUUAGAAUUCUAUCCGUGAACUUUUAUAUCAUUGACUACGGUUGCUAACAAGCAUUUUCAUUGCAAAAUUUGACAACAUUUUUCGAUGGCUUUUGGAUUAUCACAUAAUUAUGUCGUGAUUCAGUUUUAUCAUGUUCAGAUUUAGUUUUUUUACAUUUAUUUGAAUCUAAGUUACAAUUAUUGCACGUGAUGGUUGACACUUAAGGGCCUGCAUGGUUGGCACUUAUUUCUGUUCCCAGGAACAGAAAUUUCUGUUUUUUUGUUCCUGGGAACAAAAAAGGAACAGAAACGCGUUUGUGUGCGUUUCNNNNNNNNNNNNNNNNNNNNNNNNNNNNNNNNNNNNNNNNNNNNNNNNNNNNNNNNNNNNNNNNNNNNNNNNNNNNNNNNNNNNNNNNNNNNNNNNNNNNNNNNNNNNNNNNNNNNNNNNNNNNNNNNNNNNNNNNNNNNNNNNNNNNNNNNNNNNNNNNNNNNNNNNNNNNNNNNNNNNNNNNNNNNNNNNNNNNNNNNNNNNNNNNNNNNNNNNNNNNNNNNNNNNNNNNNNNNNNNNNNNNNNNNNNNNNNNNNNNNNNNNNNNNNNNNNNNNNNNNNNNNNNNNNNNNNNNNNNNNNNNNNNNNNNNNNNNNNNNNNNNNNNNNNNNNNNNNNNNNNNNNNNNNNNNNNNNNNNNNNNNNNNNNNNNNNNNNNNNNNNNNNNNNNNNNNNNNNNNNNNNNNNNNNNNNNNNNNNNNNNNNNNNNNNNNNNNNNNNNNNNNNNNNNNNNNNNNNNNNNNNNNNNNNNNNNNNNNNNNNNNNNAAUAAAAAAAUUAUACAAAUUUACCAAACAUGUUUCUGUUUAUUUUUUAUUCUCGGAACAAGUUUACCAAACGCGUAUUUUUGUUCAAAAAUUGUUCCCCGGAACAGAAAUACUUUUUUCUAUUUCUGUUCCUGGAACAAUUUUUAAACAGAAACACAACCAAACGCGCCCUAAAUUUCGCUGUUUUUCUUCCUCUUCUUUUGUCCCCGCGCGGCCCAAUCUCGUUUUUCCUUUCGGCCCGCCCGCGCCCCAGCUGUCUUCCUUGUCCUGUCUUCGCGCGCAAACCUGCAGAGGAGAGACAGCAGCAGCAGCAGCACAGCAGCAGCACGCCAGCAGGGGGAGCAGGAGCAGAGUAGAAAGCACGCGAGCAACAGGCGGACCGGCGGAAAGAAAAGACAGGGGGAAGCAAGGGGCAGAAAGAAAGUGGAGCAACCAGAGAAAGAAAAACAGAGGGAGAGAGCUCGAGAGGGAGGGAGAGAACCGGAGAGGAGGGGAGUCUCCGGCACUGUCGCCGCCGCCGCCGACGCUCGCUGCCGCCUCCCACACCUCUCCAGCAACCGCCAUCCCCGACGACCACCGCCGUGUUGCCUCCCCCGCCGUCGCCUGCUGCUGCGUUUUCGUCACCAGCUGCCGCGUUCGCCGUCGCCCGCCGCUGCCUUUCCGCCACCGUGCCGUCACCCGCUGCGUCCCAACCGUCGCCGUCAAGCCCGUCGCCGCCGCCGCCGUCCGUACGCCUAGCGACGCCUCAGCCGCAAGCAAGGAGAGGGACGUCCAUCGGGUCGCAGCCGGGUAGGAUUUUGAUCUUCGGGCAGGCCGCGUCUGGGCCGAAGCAAGGCCUUUGGGCCGGUUUAAUAUUAGUUUUUCCUUUUGUGUCGGGCUGGUUUAAUAUUAGUCUUUCCUUUUGUGUUGGGCCGGGCUUAGUUUACUUAGGUUUCUUUUUUAGGUGGACUCAGUUUUGAGCUGGACUGGGCCCGUCGUUCAGGCCCAGUCCUGUUGGGGCCCUGCCGAAUUUGGCCCUCCCCCGACCAGGCCGAACCCGGGUCGGUCAGACCGGACCCGACCCGGUUCGCCCAUUUUUUUAAAAUUUAUUUUAUUUUUUAAAAAUAAUUAAAAAUGUAAAAAUUUCGAAAAUUUAAAAAAUGUUGGGUUUAGUUAGGAAUUAUCAUGUCAACAUAAUUAAGCUUUUAUUUUCUUGUACCUUGAUUAUAUUGCAUGUUUAAUUAGCAUAUUUGAUUAUGUUUGUGGAUGUUUAAUUGCACAUGUUUAAUUUUACUGCAAUUAAGAUUUUGGUAGCUAUUAUUGUUAUUCUAAUGAUUGUACAUUUAUACAAUUACAUUAUAUGUUAGUGGAUAUGUGUAAAAUCAAUCCACAUUGCCUGACAAAAAUCAUUUCUUUUUAAAAUGAACAAUAUUAAGUAUUGAAAAGACACUAAUUGGUUAAUUAGUAUAAUCAUAUUCCCGACCCUAGAUUCUUUAGUUGGUAAGAAGUGUGGUAUACUCUCAUGUCUCACUUGGUUUUUAACCGACCCCAAUAUAGCUUACUCUAAUAGGUUAGUGGCGACUCUCUUUUGCAAAAUUCUUAAAAAUACCCAAAUGUCACGUGAGAUAAAGCUUAUGAGAGCCUAUGCCUAAUCAUAGGCUUUAGAUUCGUUGUUUAGGCAAUACCCUUAAACCUAUUCUUUCCCCCUGAUGGUAGGUCACGACAAUGAUCUAAGCUCCACCAAUAUUCUUACAUGACAUUUUCUGCUUGUCAAGCAUGUGACUUUAACGAUGUUGUAAAUUAAAUCAAUUACACGUUAAAAGUUUCAGUCAAUAAUUGACACAAAUAGUAGUAGUGGACCGACCGAAUAACAUUAGAUUGGCAAUGCAAAAUCUUAUUUCAAUAGAUCAAUAGCAUAACUACAGCAAAUAUCAAACUUUAGGACCGUGAAUGAAAUUUCUCGGUGUUAAAAAAUAAUUUUCCUUCUCUUGUCACGUCCACAGAAAAUCUUUUAGCACCACCACUACAAAAAAGGAUCGUGGUUUUCUUCCAUCACAAAUUUGAUUGGCAAGUUAUCAAAAUUUGAAGAAUCAUCCUAGAGACCGAUUCAAGGACAGCAGUUGAUCUACUAGUUGGCAAGAUUACAGAGGCGUUGAGGUCAGAUUGGGUGGUGAAAACCAACACAGCCCGUGAAGGCAAAACGUGCGACGAUUAAUAAGCCAAUGCAGCGUUCUUUCAGAGACUAGAUUUAGUUAUUCACUUAAGUUUAUCUACGGGGCUUCAAUUUGUACUUUUUAGGAGAUAAAAGUGGGUGUUAGGAGGCCUGGAGUUGCAUAUGAGACGUGUUAGAAAUUAAACCAAAUUAAUAGAUGUCCUCAAUCGACUACGAGUUGCUGAUGUCAAUGGAGAAGUUACUGAUAUUAAUGGUUGUCAAUGUUGAUAUUCCAUAAUUUGAUACUGAUGAUUUUGUUUGGUGAAUUGAUACGGAUGACUGUCCGAUGCUUGAGUUAAUUAGAUUCUUUAUUGUAGCGUUGUUUUUGAGAAGUCUAUUCGUAUUUUUAUUUCAUGUCUGUUCAUGUUUCUAAGUGUAAUCAAUGUUUUGUAAGUUCUUAGGAUUUUAUCACCUCAGAUUAGCUAUAUUUAUGAGUAAUUUAGUUUAAGAGUUAUGUGUGAAGCGUAUAAAAGUGGAGUCUUGUAAUUGUUUUUGAUAAGGUGAAAAAAAGGUGAAAUAAACAAAAAGGAUAUCUGUCUCCUUCUCUUUUUUGUGUUGUGUUAGUGAGUGUUUCAGCUUUAAAUUAUCCCAUCAAGAUGUAGCCUGUAUUUGUCUGUUACAAAAACUUGAAAUUUUCUAGUUUUGAUGCCAUAUGAAAUUAUGAAGGAGCGCUAUUAGCUAUUAUAGAAGUUUAGAUAAUUAGAUGGAUGCAUUAUUCGAUACUUAAUUGAUAUAACGUCUCUUUCACGACCCAUGUUCCUUUUCAACAACUAGAUUACUUCAACAGCUUGGCCUCAAUGAAAGGAGAGCUGUCUACAGAAGUGGAGGAUGAUGGAAUGAACAACUCGAUCGCGGAGGAGGUAAAGAAGGAUGAAAGAGGACCUUUAAUGGAAGUGUCAAAGGAUGAAAGGGAUUCUGAAGAAGAAAUCUGGAGAGGUCGACGGGAGAUAAUGAAUAAUGCAUUGGCGGCUUCCGCGGGGGACAAGAUCCGGCAAAAGCUUACGAAUAUGCUCGAAUACUGGCGCAUGUCAUCAAAGGCGGCAAGGUUGACGAGUUCCUUUCCAUGAUCAAUGUAAAUGAUCCAUUGUUGUGGGACAUCAAUUGGUCUGCCGUUUUGAAUUCCCGAUUGGAAUGGAACGAAUCACUGCUCCACAGGGCAGCAGCAAACGAGAACGACGACAUCCUAAGGCUUCUGGUUGAUUAUGUUGGUGACCACCUCAUAACCGCCCAAGAUGAUUGCAGAUAUACCCCACUCCACUGGGUCGCUCGGUUGGGGGGAUCUACUGGAGCUGUAGAGAUGUUGAUUCACCGGGCAAGAGACCUCCCCAACGUCGAGGACAAGAACCUCCUCUUGAGGAUGAAGAGCAACCGUGGAAAAACCGCUUUGCACUUGGCCGUGUGCUCUCAACAUGCCAACUUGGUGCGCUAUUUGUUGAGCGAAGAUUUGGAGCCCGUGUACUGGAAGAAUGCAAGUGAGAAAUCUCCCCUGUACCUAGCCCUCGAGAUUAAUGACUCCACAAUACAUGAGACUUUAUUUUCACUCUCGUUGGAACCGUCAAGGAUAGAAGGCUUGCCGCCCAUUCUUGGUGCCAUUGUACUUGGACGACACGGUACGUACCUAAAUCUGCUUAUGUGGAAAUAUAUUUAUCUAUUUCUGGACCGACUCGUCCCAAAUUUGUGCAAUAACCUUUUGCUCUUACCAGAACCUUUUACCGGUUUUUACUUAAAAUUCCCUACCCUGCUUGUUAAAGCAGUUGGAUACCCAUCGGUUUAGCCGCGCAUAAUAAACAAAUUAUUCACAUUAGAGCAUAAUAGAUUGGCUUAAAUAUUACAAAUACAACCAUUUCACUAGAAACUCGUGUUAUCGAUAUUUGAUUAGAAAAGCUAUAAAGUGCAAAUAUUUAAGAUUGAUGACCAUGAAAAUCUGGUAUCUAACAAUGAUGCCAUUUCUUAAGCGACUUAGAGCCAUGAACCAAAAUGAACAAAUGAAAGUUUAGGGCAGGAAUUAUAAACUGGUAGCAAACCUGUAGGCUGCGCAGGCGUGAUUUUUUCAUUGGAAAAAGAGGAGGUGAAGGUUCCGUCACUCUCAACAAAUUGAUGGAACAUCAUAAACCGUGAAUUUGUUUGUGACCAACAGUCAAUAGGUUUUUAAGAAAUUAACAAAAGUGGAUCUAAAUAAAGAAACAAAUUUUUGACUUUUUUUUAAAAAUGAAUACAGUUAUCAUAAACUUUGCACAAAAAGCCGAUAUCGUAGUCUAGCCUAAAUUACCUUGACCAUUAAAAAUAUUGAGUUAAAAUUCAUCAGACACGCGAUAAUCAAUUAUGCGGAAUUUUUUGGCUGCUAAUGCCAUGUAUCCCAAGUUUACUACUUGAUAAGCAUAGCUAACGUUCAUUGAUCAUCAGAUUGGUAGAUGGCAUUCAAGUGUUACAGUCAUAUCAAAUAGAGAGAAUUGUCCAAAAAGUGCUAGACUUAUUAUAUGAUUGUCGAUUCAGUUAUAAACAUGUUAAUUGUGUCAAUUUAACCUCUAUUUUAGUCCUAAACUUUUAAAAGAUUUGCCAACUUAGUCCUUCUAAUCAAUUUCUACUGGAAAUCAAUUUAUGCUGGAAAUUGCCGACAUGGCGGUCUAGUCAAAGUUAGCCAUCCUACAUGAUGUUGAUCGCCUAUGUGGCUUUUUUACAAUAUAUAUAUUAUUUUUUUAAUUUUUUGCAUUUUUUUCCUUUUCUUUUUUUUUAAUCCUUUUUCUCCCUCUGCCAGCCUCAGGCGAGGGCUGCCCUCUGACCCUUGCGUAGAGCAACCCUUGCCCUUGCUCGACCUCCACUAGGUGUCAACUGUUGAUGGUUAGAGAAGGGAAAAAGGAAAAAAUGAAAUUAGAAAACAAAAUGAAAAGAAAAAGACAAAGGAAAGGAAAGGAAAAAGGAAAAAAAAAUUAGAAAACUAAAAAAAUUGCAAAAAUUAUCCAUGUUAGCGUUGACUAUGCCAUGUAGGACAAUCAAUACUACUAGACCGCCAUGCCAAUGAUUUCCAACAAAAUUGGCUAGAAUGACUAAAAUAACAAAUUGUUAAAAGAUUUAUAACUAAAUUGGCAAGUUAUUAAACAUGGAAGGCUUCGCAGCUAUCCAGAAGAGAGCCUUACUCUAUAGGGGUGCUAACGCUUUACUAAGGUAUAGGAGAAGGGGCGGUUGGCUUAGUAAAGAGAGUAUAAAGUUCCACUUUGUGAAUAGUGCCUCGGCUCGGUUGAGUAAUGUAGUUCGCAAUUGUUAUGACUAAAUUGGCAUAAUUGAAAUAUUUAAGACUAAAUUAAUCAUCAUACAAUAAAUUCAAGACUUUUUGGACAAUUUUCCCUAUCAAGUAUAAUUCCAACCCUAGAUGCAGUAACUUUAUUUGUAUCCUGUCCCAAUUUAUUAAUCCGAGCACAUGUUAUUAUUUACAUUGCACGACGUAACAUGUUUGAGGCUGUCUAUUUAAACUGAACAUGCAAAACAAUUUCAAAUAGACAUUAAGUGAAAAUGCGUAACAAUGUAUUGUGUGAUGCAAAUAAUAAAUUAGCAUACCCAAUAAAUGUAGGUGUCUAAACUUACGUCGCACUCGUUGAAUAGAUUAUAGAAGUCGACUUGCACACAUAACGUUCAUAAUCCAUUUAUAAAUGGCUUAACUUAUUUGCGAUAAUACAAUUAAACCUAAUCCUACCAUAUGUAACCACGUUUCAUGUAGUGAACAUGUCUGUAGAAGGGCUGUUUCAUAGUUUGUCAGCUCAUAAUUCUAAUAAGUACUUUAGAAACUAUACAAAAGAUCCCAUUGAAAUUGGAUUUACUAUAUAUUUCUUAUUCUUACUGUCCAAUAUAUAAAAAUCCUUUUAUGAAGUACUACUAAUUGAAAUCUCAUAAUAAUAGUUCAUUUUAUUCCUCAUUGAAUGUAAAAGUAGAUGACAUUGUGGAAUGAAUCGAGCAUUGCCAUGGGCUUUUGUAGAGAGGCACUUUAAUUAGGCUCUCAUGAUAGGUAAGGUUCAUAUCAAUUAAAUAAGGUAAGGUUAUUUCUUUAAAUCUAGUAGUAUUCUUUCACUUGGGAAAAUUAUCCAAAAAGUCCUAAGCCUAUUGCACUUUUGCCAAUUCAAUCCUAAAUCAUUCAAUUUUGUCAAUUCAGUGCUAACCAUUUUCACUUCUUGCCAAAUGAGUGUAUUCCGCUAAUUUUGACCAGAAUUCAUUGAUGUGGAUAAUUUUUAUUAAUAUUUUAAUCAUUUUUUAAAAAAAUUAUACUUUUUUCUUUUUUUCUUUCUUUAUUCCCCCCUCUCUUCUUCCUUUUAUCAAUGGCUAGCUACUAACCACCAGUGAUGGCCAACUACCGGCCAUGGCUAGGUGAGUUGACCUUGCCCGCCGUAAGUGAUGCCUGGCCGGGCAAGGCCAAGCCCCAACAAGGGUCGGCCUCACCUAGGUUAGGCGAGACCAACCCUCGCCCAAACUAGGUGAGAUCGCCUAGGCGAGGGUGAGCCCCUUGUUCGACCAUGUCUUACUGAGGCAUGCGAGGCUAGCUAGCUCGGCCAUAGUUGGUGGCUGGCACAAAAGGAAGAAGAAAGGGAAAAAAAAUUUAAAAAAAAUAAAAAAAUAUUUUUAAGAGUUUACAUUAGUGUCAACCGUCUUACAAGACACCGCUAGUGUCCACAUCAGCGAAUUCCUAUCAAAAUUAGCCGGAUGGACUCAAUUACCAAGAAGUAAAAAGGUUUAUGACUGAAUUGACAAAAUUAAAGAGUUUAUGACUGAAUUGAUAUAAGUGCAAUAGAUUUAGAACUUUUGGGAAAUUUUCACUCUUUCACUAAUGUAUCUAGAAUGUAACUAGUUACCCAUAUUGAAAUUUGUGGCCUGAAUUGCUCCGUCAAUUUCAAGAAUGGUGGCAUCCAUCAUGCGAGCACCUUUUUUUGUAUGUGUAAAAUUGAAGUAUGUUUUUUAUUAUAAAUUAUUGGUGAAAUAUUAUUCUAUUUCAUAAAAAAAUUCUUCUUUUGAAUAGAAUAAAUGCAAAAUUCUUAAUUCAUGUUAUAUAUUAAUGUAAAAUAUAGGGGGCUCGAUGAUAGUUAAAAAAUUCCUAAUUAUUGUUGUUAUAACUCAUGAAAUUUGUAUAUGUACUUAACAAUAUUAUUAGAGUAUAUUUUAUAGGAAGUAUUAUAGAAAUGUAAGAAUUUUCAAUAAUUGCUCAUUUGCAGUUUUUGAAACUCAUUAGAACUAAUUUCAAUAAAACUAAUGCCUCUUUUGUUGAACAAAAGUCAUGGUAUAAGAGGCAAACAUAAAUCCUAAUUUGAAGCAAAAUAAAUGGAAAGUGGAAGAAACACUCUUUGUGAGGAAAAUAAUCAAUCCCUUACAAAUUAGAGCCCUAUAAAUCACUUUUAGAGACAAUUCUUAAAGAAAAAAUCAUUAUAUAUUUAUGUAGAUGUUACAAUAGUCUAGAUUAAUUUGCAAAGUUCACUGAACUUUUAGUAUUAUGGAUGUAAUUUUAUGGCGGUGAAAUGAGACUCAUUUUGUUUUGUGUUGUGUCAUCACAGCUUAAAUAUGUGGUCGUUAUAGCUCCGAUAUAUAUGACUCCAUGCAAUGCACAGACAAGAUAGAACAUAUAAUGUGAUUUAUUGAGUAAAAAUAUCUUUCCCAGAAUCACUAAAAUUUCACAAAAUAUAUUUGGUCCAUUCACAAGAUAUAAUGGGAUUGAGUAGCACAAUCCCCAAGGAUGAGGUUAUCUCUAAAUCACUCUCGCCUGUCUUUGAAGUCCAAUGGCCACCCACAAUCCUCAAACACCGUUGGAAUAUUCUCAAACAAUUGAAGCACCUCUCUCACAUUAUUGAACCUCUUUACUAGCACCUCCAAAUUUUCAUAGUUGGGGCCAAAAAAAAAUUCCUUUUGGUGGAGCCUUUUCCUUUCUGUAUUUUGUGAUUUAUAAGCUCUACUAUCUUAGAAAUAGAUUAUGGUCACAAAUUUUACUUAGAUUUUACUCACAAGUUUGGUAAAUACAUAAUCUCUUAAUUGAGCUCAAUAAGUGCCGUAUACCUUUACGAAGAAGAUGACAUUCAAUCUAGAGAGGGUGGAACAAUUUUAAGGGGGAUUUCGGUAGGGCGUUGUGGAGGCUAUUGCAAUGUUCUUAACAAUUAAAUAAGUCUGCUUGAUACUUGCUAGAAUUCGACGGACAUAAUAUGAAAAGAUCAUUUUCCUUUUCUUGAUCUUGCCCUAGCUUGCAUUACGUCUGCCGACUCUAUAGAUACUUCAUGUCGUGGAAAUGCCAUAUAAAUUGCUAUGUCAUUUAGCAAGAUUUUUAUAGUCAAAUCUUAAGUUCCUGUCGAUGUCAUUUAACUAGUUUUGGUAUUGCAAUCUAAUCUGUUAUUGUCGACUAUCAAUACUAGUAGUGAUUAAGGCACGUCAAAGAUGUCCUUACUCCAAAAUGGGUUUAAAUAUAUCGAGACCAACCAAGCUCCAACCAUCCUAAUUUGGAGCUUCUGAUCCCAGAUUUAUUCAACCUGAUACUCAAGAAAAACAUGAAGCUAUUCGCAUUGACCGACUCCACCGGGGGCAAUGUAUUCCAUUUAGCAGCUUACCUGAAUCAGGCCUGGGUAUUCGAAUUCUUACAACCAGAAACUAUAUAUUUGAUCCGAGCAAGGGACAUGAAUGGAGAUCUCCCCAUUCAUAUUGCGAGCAAGAUGGGUUAUGUUGAACAUAUCAAGAAGCUGAGGAAAGUAUCAAAUUUGCGAAAUGGGCAAGGGCAAACUGUUCUUCAUGUUGCCGCAAAAUAUGGGAGAGUCUCCGUAGUGAGAUAUAUACUCAGUGAUCCAGAUCUAGGGGAGCUGUUAAAUAAACAAGAUUUUGAUGGAAAUACAGCUUUGCACUUGGCUGCGAUGCAUUCACAGCCCGCUGCUUUGAUUCAUCUUGUGCGGACUAACGGAAUUCAACUCAGCAUUCUCAACAACAAAUGCUUGUUGGCUGUUGACAUUGCUGGACGACGCGUAGCAAUGGGGUAUGAUAUUCGGCAGGUAGGUAACAUGAACAGUCACUAUUUUAUUUAUUAACUUACUGGAGAUUUCGUAGACUAAUGCAUUAGUUAAGGCAGAUCUUGUAUUCAAAUCAUUAUGUCUCCCAGCCAACUAGAUAGGAGAAGUAUUGAUCAAAUCUCUAGAAUAACCAAGACUCCUCUCGGAUAAAUGUUUUGCAAGUCCCUAAUUUAGUCUUGAUAGGAGGUAAUUAAAAUUUGUGAUCAUGAAUUUCUCUGCAGUUAGAAACAAGUAACGUGUCUUUCAUAACACGGAGAUAACAAUUUAUAUAUUUCGUUUAAUUGAGCCUCUGAAUACAGUCAUGAAUAAAAAGGCAGGGUUUGUCAAGGUUGCAUUCUGUUUUUCAUAAAAAGCCAGGGGUCAAUGUGGCAAAUUUGAACGCUCCAAAUGUAACACAAUCUCAUAACAUUAUCAUUUUGUCGACCUAUGAAAUGAUUGCCCGCAUAGAUUCCAUUCAUGCCUCUUUUUUCGUCUAAAACGAACUUGGCAAUUUUGUGCUAAUUCUUCAAAAAGAGCAGAAACUGCAUCUUUAGAAGCAAACGUUUCCAGAGUUCAUUCCCGUUAUAAAUAUGGUAUAAGUUUGUUCUUAUUUUCCUUUUUACAUGCUUCCGAUCUCAGCACUUGGCAUACCUGGCGUUGCUUUGCUCGCUCGCGGAAGAAGGUCCACUUGAAAACCAAGAGUUACUCCUAGUUAGAGCGGAAGCUCGAGAUGAAGAGUUAUCAGUAGUCCGCUCGCGCAAAAGCAUGCCGAGAAGGGACAUCAUCAAGGAUCACAUCAAUUCCCGUAUGGUGGUGGCAACGCUUGUGGCCACAGUGACUUUCGCAGUUGGUUUUGCAGUUCCUGGAGGAUUUAACAGCUCAGACACAGCCUCCAAAGAUGACCGGGGCAUGGCUAUGAUGCUGGACACAGAAUGUUCCAGGCUUUCGCGAUUUGCAACACCAUCGCGAUGUUCUGCUCAAUGACUGUGGUCGUCAACCUCAUCUGGGCGCAGGUAGUUGAUGUCAACGUUGCAGUCGCUGCAUUUCAGCGCACAACGCUACCGCUACAAAUUGCACUCCCGGCGAUGUCCACCGCUUUCUUAACUGGUGUCACCUUGACCAUUGGCAAACUCCCGUGGCUUGCUAACACCAUAUUUUAUUUGGGACUCGUUUUCCUCCUCAUUAUCUCAUUUGCUAACUUGUUCGGGGAGCCUUUCUUCUUUAAAAUCCUCGGUCAUCCUCUCCGUCGACUAACAUUCUGGCUUAUUCUCGCUUGCAUUUAUUUGUGGAGAGUUGAGACGUACAUUUAUGAUGACAAUGACGCGGAAGAUAACAGAAGGAGAAGAAGACCUUCGCUAGUCCGCCUGUGGAUGUUGCCGGUGAAACGAGGACCGAUGACUCGGCGAAAGCAAAAUGUGAGGAUGCGUUACAUCCUCCAAGUCACUGAUUUGAAUUGAUCAUUCCAUAUUAUCUGUAAUAUGUAGUAGUAAUAUAUGUUUUCCUUGGUGAGUGUGACUCACUCUACGGUUGCUUUCCUUUAUGUCAGAUCAAAGGUGAUUGUUAAUGUAUGUAAGCUAAACCACGUGUUCCUCUAAUAACUUAACUUAUUAGAAUUGUUGGAUAUAAUUCCAUCAAAUUUCAUAUGUUAUUAAAGCAGAGGUUCUAAGUUCAAACAUUUUCAGGUCCUAUUUGCUUCAUCUAUUAUAUGUUCUCAUGUUUCAAUAUUAGAUCAAUUCAAGUUUAUGAGUGAAGAUGAGUAUAAAAGUAUUUGUAUUAAAGUAUUUGAAUUAAACAUCGCAUCCGUCUAAUAAUUUACAUUUUUAGAAUAAUUAAUUGUAGUUCCCGAAAUUUCAAAGUGAUACACACUUCAUGUAAAUUAAAUGGAUGAAUGGCUCAUUUCACCCGUUUCAUUGCCUUGGAAUCAAAUUGUUAACUUUGAACAUGUGGAAGCUCGUGGGUCAAUGAAAUCACUCGUCUAGAGUGGCAAUGUCCGAUUUACUUUGAACCAGUCCAAUUUGCGGCACUCUCGAGUCACGAAAUCUUACCUGUCUGGUGUGCAAAGAAAAUAAUUCUCAAAUUCUCAUCGCCUACUCUCUGAGUCGAGAGUUGGGUGAAGAAAACCGGAACAAAAUAAUUCUCUUCACUACUCACAAAAAAAAAAAAAUAGAAUCGAACCCCGAACUCAUUUCCAUUUACACCCCUUUCAUUUCCCCACUUCUCCCUCCUAGGCGACCAAUUUCUGUGCAUGCAAAUGAGUUUUGGUCUUUGAUUCGUGCCGAGGUAUAAUCUAGUGAGCAGCGGGCACAGAAGUCUAGUCAAGGGACGAGAUAAAAAGGAAUUGCAGUACGCAACUCAAGGAGAAUUGUGGAAAAGUUUGGAUAUGUGAUUUUCCUCCUCCGAUCUCUGAUUUUUAUUUCAAAGCCGGUUGGUAUUGACACGUAGAAUAUAACUCUAAAGUGAUUCUGGACCUAUUUAUUUUGAAAGUAGAUAAUUACAAAAAAUGAAAAGGAUCCCAUUGUACAAAUAAUCGAUUUAAUUUUAAACAUCUUGACGAUUUGCCAGUAUAGUCAUUCUGACCAAUUAUGACCGAAAAUCAUUGACGUAGAUGCUAGCCAUCCUAUCGCACAUGACCAGUAUUGAGGUGGACAAUUUUUGUAAUUUAAAACAAAAUUCUCAUUUUUUUUUCUUUUUUUCAUGUUUUCAUUUUCUUCAUUUUCCUUUCUUAUAUUUUCCUUUUUAUUUUUUUCUUAUUCCCCUUCGCCAGCCAUUGGCCGGUCCAUGGCUUCGGUGAUUGAUAGUAAGGGCCCAAUGCCCUCGCCAGCGAUUGCAAGGGCUGAUGGAUUUGCUGGGGCCACAGACUAAUGGAGGGACAAAGGAAGAAAAAAAAAGAAUGACAGAAAAGAAACUAAAAAAAGGAAAAAAAAAAGUUUUGAAAUAAUUGCAAAAAUUAUCCACAUUAACAUCCGCGCCCAGAUCGGCGAGGCCAAUCUUGUCAUGGGCUGGCCUAGAUCUGGGUGAAGCCGCCUCGCGUGCGGCUCCGAGGCCUCACUUGUGGCCAAAAGAAUGAAGAAGAGAAAAAAAAUAAAAGGAAAAAUAAAGAAAAUUAUUAAAAAAUUAUUAAAAAAUUAUUAAAAAUUGCCACGUUAGCAUUGACCGAAUGACUAUCGUCCACAUCAACGCUAGCCGACCAAAAUUGGCCGAAUAGAUUGAAUUAACACAAUCACGAAAAGUUUAUAACUGAAUUAGCACAAUUGUUAUGAAUUUACGACUUUUUUGGUAAUUCUCCCAAUUUAUUUGUUAUCUCCAUUUUUAGAUUGUGACAUGUGUCCAUUCAAUUUUAGUCCUCACUGCACUUCAUCUAAAUACCAUCAAACCUUAGCAGCGAGGAUGGUAAUUGGAGAUCUAUGCAAAUAUUUAUAUAUAAAAAUUACAUUGAGAUAGUAAAGUGUGCUCACCAUCAUCAUAUCAUCAUCCAUCAAGUCGAUUCCACAUAAUGAUCUAUUUGUCACUUUCAACAUCCUGGGGGCUUAAAUGUUUCAAUUAAAUAAGGUAGGAUGAGAAGUAUUUUUCAUAAAGAACGGACAUUCAAGAAGUCUUGCUAGAUUGAUAGAUUGAUGUUGCAAAUGGUUCUCUUCUCAAGUAGCAUGAAAAAUUAUGCUACUUAAAUGUAGAGCCUCCUUUUUUCUAUUUUUUUUGGCAGAUCUUCCAAAUCAAAUUACAAGGUUACGACUAUGAAAACUCAUAGUACAAGUACAAAAAAUACCAAAUCAAUCAUCUAUUGACUUCUCGAUUCUCAUUAAAUCUGAUUCACAAAAUAGGUUGGGACCCAUUUUGCUAGCCCUACUAAAAUCUAAACAUUUUAAUAAAUUAAGGAUUUAUACGGCAUCCUAGUUCACAAAGAUGUGCCGUUGCUGUUGACAAAUCGACAGUGAUUGAUUUUCAUGAACUCGUCGUCAUAUUGUCGACAUUCCCAUUAUAUAUGAACAUAAGAGAGAACUUUGAUUUUUGAGCAUCAAGAGAUAAGAUUGACUUAAAUAGAAUGCCAAAUAGCCCAAGUGUCACAAUUAGAUAAUUCCAAACCCCAAACACUUUUUUUUUAACCCCAAACACAUUCAACUAUGGUUUUUUUUUCCUUAUAACUUUCUUCACAUAAUAUAAGAAUGUACUUUAUGGUUAAUGAUCAUAUAUAUCGCGGUUUAUGAAAGACUAUGCCACAUCAAUAGUUUUAGAUGUUAGUCCAAAUUCGAAAUACCGGGCCAACGUUUGAGAUUUGAUUGGCCAUUCGGCAUUUCAUUUAUUACUCAUGAAGUCUAUCAUUGCAUGAAAUUUACUGAAAAUUAGAGAAUCUCACAAUACCAACAAAACAUCAAGUUUAUUCAGCUUUUUUACCCUUGAUACACUCCACAUGUAGCCCAAUUUACAAAAUUCCACGAAAACUACUGCUCAGCAAAGACGAACAACAGCACCCAUCGGCCCAACAUGCUUAACUCCAAGCAUAGAGUGACUCGAACUCUUCUUGUCUCCUUUCAGUUUACCACAACCAGACAUAUUUAAUAAAGUACCGUGAACAAGACAAGAUAGCGAUGAGAUCUACUCAAUAGGCAUAGGGUUUGCCAAGAGAUAAGCCUCGAUGGCCUUGAACAUCGCGGACGCCUUCUCUUUCCCGGCCUUGAUCUUCUCCUCAGUGAUGUCCACCUCACCGAUGGUGAAGUACUUGCUCGUGUUCUUGCACACCGAGCCUCCCUCGGGCGAUGCGGUGAUCUUCACCUCGUAGCUGAUCUUCUCGAAGGUGGUGCCCAGCACAUCGCCCUCGAUGAUCGAGUAGCUGUAGGUGAAGUUCUCCUUGUCCAGGGCCUCGACCUUGUGCUUCAUUGUCUGGUACUGACUGCCUAUCAAAGUAAGAAAAAAGUAAUAUUCACGUUUAGAACUCGCCGGUUUCAACAUCACAAGCAACGAUCUUGAUGGUGUCCAUUGGGCCAUUUUGGUUGUUCCAAUUGCAAUCUGAUACGAUUGACUUAGACAUGGCCUGAUUUCGCUCGAUUGGAAUCGAGUCAUGUGAUCACUUGUGUAAAUCAAUGGUUAGAAAUUUUUUUAAUUAACCAAGUUACAUAUCUAUCUUUUUCAAUGUUCAUUAUGAUGUUCCAUAAGGUUGAAACAGCCUUGAUCCAGAGCGAUCCUAACACGGACGGACUAACCUUCGCCGAAAGUGAUCAACUUGAUGGUCCCGGGACCUCCGUUGCCCUCGAGGACUUCGACGCUCUUGAUGGCUUGCGGGAGCACCUUGGGGAUGAGGUUAUCAGCAUCGAGGACAGCGGCCUUGAACAUCUUGGCCGGAGGGAUUGGGGUCGUGACCUCGGAGUCGUAACUGACGACACCCAUGAUUUGGAUCCGAAUGGAGUUGCCGAAAUAGAGAAGAGGGUGAUCAGGAAAGGCUGAUUAGCAGUGAUGAAGUUGGUCUCUAGGACUCGGUAGUGAAGAGAAGAGGAUGAACCAAAGCUGACAUAUAUAGAGAGACCGAGUUUGAAGGGUUCUCGUUAUUGGAUAUUUUCUUCAAGUGUGUUCGUUUGGUACAAAAUAGAGAAGAGGAUGAACCGAAGCUGACAUAUAUAGAGAGACCGAGUCUGAAGGGUUCUCAUCAUUGGAUAUUUUCUUCAAGUGUGUUUGUUUGGUACAAAAUAAAUAAUUAAAUAACUAUUUGUAUCAUUUGGUAUAAUUAUUUGAUGAGAAAUUUUUGCAUUAUUGACAGUAAUUUAUAUCUAAAUAUUCCCGUGAAUGAUGAAAAUAUUUUUUAUUCAUUCCUUUUAUAAGUUAUAUGAAAAAAAAUAUUUUUUUACAAAACAAACGAAGCUUAAUAAAAAAAAUCUUAAUCAGUCUGUGGGUUGUUCAAUCAUGCCAUGGACUUUGUUCAUAAAAUAAAAUUUGUCUAUAUGAUAAUGGAAUAUUAGUCAGAGAAGGCACCAUCCUAGAAUGAUACCAAACGUUCUUCCAUUUCCCUUUCAUGUAUAGACUUGACUUUUGAUCCAGGAGCAUUUGCUCAGCAAACUCUCUUGGCUGAGCUUCACUGAUUUCUUACAUAGUGUUACUAUCAUAGAAAAUAUCAAGCCCUUAGCUGCAUAGGUCGCGAUCCACCCAGAUCUCAUCCUACUUCUUUUCAAUCCGUUCGGUAGAGGCCUCGGGAAGAAUUAUCAUCAAUUUCAUACUCAUAAAUAAUAUUCGCUUAACUCUGUGCAGUAGAAAAACUCGAAAAAUCGAGGCACAAUUUUUCCUGCUGGGUGAUCUCGGUGCUUCAUGUUUCUGUUGAGCUUCCAUCGAUAAGAAAAAGUACAGAUUGAUCUCAAUGUUGCACUAAUCCAAUUUAGCAGAAAAAAAUGGGAAAGGUAGUUUGGUAAUUACAAGGCUUUGUUACUUUUAGUCAACAAAGGCUGCUCUGAAAAUCAAGAUGGACGUCUAUAGAUUUUGAAUUUUUCUACUUGCUUUCAUGUGUCUAGUCCUUUUAAAUAAUAUUAUUGCGAACCAUUUUCUGCUAAUUGUCUGGUGGAAGUGUGGUGGAUCAAGCGAGAUUGGCUCACGGGUCACUUGCUCAUUAAACAUUUUUUUAAUUUUCCUUUUUAUCUAACGGUAUAGCGACGUAGAUUUUUAGAAACGCUUUCUUCGUAUUUAAUUUUCUUCUUUUGUCUAGUUCAUCUUGUCGUAGUCACGGACCAUGUGAACGUAUAGGAGAAUGUCCAUGGGUGUUAGAUCAGAUUAAUUAAUGAAUUUCGUCGUAUUGAGACAAAAUUGAUUAAACUUGUCAAUCAUCUCACUGCGACGGAAGAUUCGGAAAAUAUUAAUGCAUAACAACAGCAUAUGUUUUGGGAGAAAAGUAUUGGAGAGGGGCAUGGAUGCAUUGCUGAAGUUAUUUGAUGAGCAUGUCAUAUGUACUAAAUUAAUCUAAAUAGCUAAAUUUGAUGGAAUUCAUAUGAAACCUAAAUGGAACAUAUAGAAAUUAAAAGCCGAAUUUUGCUUUAUAUAAAUACGACGCUAGCUCAUUCUCGAGUCUUUGUCAAAAUUGUGUUGUAGGCAAUUGAAUGUGAACCUCCCUUCCCUUUCACAUAUGAUCGACUCAAAUUUCUCGUACUUCAUUGACUUCCUUGUUUCGCUGUUGAAGCAACAAAAUCACAGCAAUUGAAGUCACCAGAAGUAGCUCGCAUCAAUAAGGACCUUUUCCCUAUGGUCGGUCGAUUUACUGUUCAUCCCACCCCACAAGGAGAUAACCUCGUCACAUUUUCACACAAGCCUGGAUUUGCGAUAAAAGCGCUUUUUGGUGCUUAUUGGAAGAGGCGACCACUAGGAACCGCACCUGUCAGCUCGUUGUACAAUAAGUCUACGGAGCUUAAACAAGUUAUAUGUCCAUUUUUUUCAAUGUUCAUUAUAAUGUUCCGUAAGGUUAAAACCACCUUGAUCGAGAGCGAUCCUAAGUUCCUAAUAUGGAUGGACUAACCUUUGCCGAAAGUGAUCAAAUUGGUGGUCCCGGGACCUUCAUCGCCCUCGAGGACUUCGACGCUCUUGAUGGCUUGCAGGAGGACCCUAGGGAUGAGGUUAUCGGCGUCGAGGACAGUGGCCUUGAACAUCUUGGCCGGAGGGAU